rnacentral:tRNA from 1 species
UCCCUGGUGGCUCAGAUGGUAAAGCACCUGCUUACAAUGCGGGAGACCUGGGUUCGAUCCCUGGGUGGGGAA